AAAAACAUGGCUCCUUGUUUAUAAUACAUAAGGAGUCGGACCUGCCCAGUGAAAUUUUUUAACGGCCGCGGUACUCUGACCGUGCAAAGGUAGCAUAAUCAUUUGCCUUAUAAUUGAAGGCUAGUAUGAAUGGUUUGACAAGAAUGUAGCUGUCUCUUUAUAAUUAAAUAGAAUUUUAUUUAUAGGUGAAGAAGCCUAUAUUAAAUUAAAAGACAAGAAGACCCUAUCGAGCUUGAAAGAAACUACUAGAGUAAUAAUUAAUGAUAUCAAAAAAUUUACUAUUAGAAAUUUUAGUUGGGGCGACUAAGGAACAAAAAAAGCUUCCUUUAAAAACUAAAACUAAACAAGUAUUGAUCCAAAACAUUUUGAUUAAAGGAAUUAGUUACCGUAGGGAUAACAGCAUUAUCUUUUUUAAGAGCUCUUAUCGAAAAAAAGGUUUGUGACCUCGAUGUUGGACCAGAAUAUCCUAAAGAUGCAGCAGUCUUUAAGGGUUGGUCUGUUCGACCAUUAAAAUUCUACGUGAUCUGAGUUC
rnacentral:rRNA from 1 species